GCGAAUCUGCAGGGACUAAUUUGCGAACCUGCAAGGACUGUUUUGCAAACUGCUGGACUGCAAUGCAGUUUCAGCCUUGUGAGGGAUUAGUCGGCAAUUAGUUGAUCUUAUCACUUCACCCAGCAGCCCCCAGCCCUGUCUACGUGUUGGACUUCCUCCCUCUCCUUCUUUUCUUAUAUCUAUCUCCUCUUUUAUAUCUCUAGAACCUGGUUAAAGCCUUGUGAGAGAGAGAGCCUGUGGAGUGGAAAUUUUUGUUGAUGGAGCUAAGAAGAGAAACUGUGGAGCUGACAGGAAGCUUGUGGAGCUGAAGAAACCCUUGGGGAAACUCCAAAUCCAGGAUUGAGGGGGAAGCUACAGAGUAGAAAUUUCGGGCUAUUGGAGCUGAGAAUAACCUGGUAUAAUACCUAAUUAAGAUAUGCAGGAAAUUAAGAAGUGAUUGUAGAAGUGUGAAGGGGCUGUCUUGUAGAUCUUGGCGCCCAAAUUGGAAGAGACCUGGUGAAUCUCUUUGAUAUUUCGAAUUGAAAGGGGGGACUUGGUGGAGCUCUGAAUCCAGGAGCUAGGAGAAAACGUUAGUGAGGAAGUAAGUGUGCAGAAUUUCAGCAUGGUGCAGAUUUUGAGGUUGAGCUGAAAUUGCUUCCUUAUUAGAGCUUCUUUGGUGUCCAAACUAAAAGAGGACCAAGUGGAACUUCAAGCUCAGGUUAGACGUGCUCGGAAGUUCGAAUUGACAUUCCGACGAUCUUACGAUGCGCUAUUUAAGAAACGCUUCAUUCUAGCUCUAUUUGUAUUGAGUCGCGAGAGCUAGUUGUUGACGCAUUUCGAGACGUUGGUUCUUAUCUGUUGGCAUCCCUACAGGUUUCGCCCUCAACAAACUCACCAACUCAAAAUCCCAAUGAUCGGAGAGAUACUCGCUACACUCGAUGGGACCGCCCUCUGGGGAGAUACUCGCUACACCCAGUGAUGUCGACUCCGGAGCAUAUCGCCCGAGGGGGAGCUACCACAACCUCGAGC